GAUGAACGCUGGCGGCGUGCCUAAUACAUGCAAGUCGAGCGAACGGACGAGAAGCUUGCUUCUCUGAUGUUAGCGGCGGACGGGUGAGUAACACGUGGAUAACCUACCUAUAAGACUGGGAUAACUUCGGGAAACCGUAGCUAAUACCGGAUAAUAUUUUGAACCGCAUGGUUCAAAAGUGAAAGACGGUCUUGCUGUCACUUAUAGAUGGAUCCGCGCUGCAUUAGCUAGUUGGUAAGGUAACGGCUUACCAAGGCAACGAUGCAUAGCCGACCUGAGAGGGUGAUCGGCCACACUGGAACUGUGACACGGUCCAGACUCCUACGGGAGGCAGCAGUAGGGAAUCUUCCGCAAUGGGCGAAAGCCUGACGGAGCAACGCCGCGUGAGUGAUGAAGGUCUUCGGAUCGUAAAACUCUAUUAUUAGGGAAGAACAUAUGUGUAAGUAACUGUGCACAUCUUGACGGUACCUAAUCAGAAAGCCACGGCUAACUACGU
rnacentral:rRNA from 1 species